rnacentral:rRNA from 1 species
GGCGGACGGGUUAGUAACGCGUGGGAACAUACCCUUUUCUACGGAAUAGCCUCGGGAAACUGAGAGUAAUACCGUAUAAGCCCUUCGGGGGAAAGAUUUAUCGGGAAAGGAUUGGCCCGCGUUAGAUUAGAUAGUUGGUGGGGUAAUGGCCUACCAAGUCUACGAUCUAUAGCUGGUUUUAGAGGAUGAUCAGCAACACUGGGACUGAGACACGGCCCAGACUCCUACGGGAGGCAGCAGUGGGGAAUCUUAGACAAUGGGCGCAAGCCUGAUCUAGCCAUGCCGCGUGUGUGAUGAAGGUCUUAGGAUCGUAAAGCACUUUCGCCAGGGAUGAUAAUGACAGUACCUGGUAAAGAAACCCCGGCUAACUCCGUGCCAGCAGCCGCGGUAAUACGGAGGGGGUUAGCGUUGUUCGGAAUUACUGGGCGUAAAGCGUACGUAGGCGGAUUGGAAAGUUGGGGGUGAAAUCCCAGGGCUCAACCCUGGAACUGCCUCCAAAACUAUCAGUCUAGAGUUCGAGAGAGGUGAGU